GUUGUGCCUUAACCAGCGAUUUGCAUAUGUAUUGUAGGAAUCUGGAUAUUAAAGCCUUUGAAAAGAAUCCUCCUUCAAGCUCUUGUUUUUCAGCAACUGGGAGCCAGGUGUCAGAGGCAGUUGCCAGGGUCAGGUAAGUAAUAACUCAAAAGGUGCCGGUGAAGUUAACUCUUUAUUCAAAGAAACAAAACAGCUCAAGCCUAAUGAGCCUAGUAACUUUCCACAGUGAGGCAGUUGCAAGGACUGAAGGUCCCCACCUUCCCACAGUUCCCUAAAUCUCCUUCCUGGAUCCUUCUCAAGCAGCCCGAGUCUCCUCCUUCUUGCCUCUCUUUCAUCCGUUCUCUUCAUUCCUUUUCAUGCUCUGGGAGACCAGGAUGGUUGCAGCUGGAGGGGGAGACCCUCUGGCUUCUUCAACAGCUUACCUGAUCUCUGCCUUGUGCCCCCUCCCUCCUCUAGCCUCCACAUCUGCCUCUGCUUUUAGAUUGCUCUCUGCCCCAGUCUCUUCCUGUUCACUAAGCCCUGUUGCCUCUUUAGCUUCUGACACAUCCUCCCAAUCUUCUCCCUCUGACCACUCAUUGUCAUCCCACCAGUAAUCCCCUGGCUUCCUCCCUUGUGGGUUACCCAGCUGGUGCCUCCCACCAUGCUUCUGCAUCCAGCCAGUCCAUGGCCCUAGGAUAGUAGCCUUCGUCCCACUUCAUGUUUUAAGCCAUCCCCAAUUCCCAAAGUGGCAAAAAGCUCUAGGUGCCACAUUGCAUUGCGCUUUAGAGUUGUAGUGUCAUCAUGCAUUUUAUUUUGUUUAUUUGUUUUUAUGAACAAAAUUUGUACACUGCUGAAUUGUAACUAAAACCCAUAACCUACGUGCAUGUGUACAAGAGAUAACGGGAGUAAAGGUCCUAAAAAGUGUGGGCAAGGCACAAGAGUGCAUGGUUUGCCUCCCCAUGAUCAAGAGGGGCUAAAAGAGGCAAGUGUAAUGGCAACUUCCAUGUAGGAGAAGUCUCAAGUGGCGUGCGCAAAUUCCGUUGAAGGUACAUAAGCAUAGGGGUCACAGUCCUACUGUUGCUUCAACUGCUCUGUGAGGACACAAACGAGGGAGAGUUAAUGCCUGCUACGUAGUUCCUAGAAGUGUGUGGCAGUGUGUAUUCAGUGCUUAGGAGCUGCUGUGUGUGCUUUUGUCAACAAGAAUAACUAUCUGUCGUUUGCCCUCCUUGACUGGAUGUGAGCAGGACACUCCACUGCCCCUUGGGGAAACAUAAACACCACCAACAAAAACAUUUCAAUAAACCAUUAUGCUAUCCUGGGAGAUAUAUGUUUAUCACUCCUUCUGAUAGCGAACUCAGCUGCUGAGUGCUGACAUUAUAGCCAUAACACUGUUCUGCCACCUCUGCAUUUCAUCUCUCUGCAGCAAGUUGGCAAUGCCAGUGGCAAUGUGAAAAGCCUGACAGCAGAGGGCCUGUGUGGCCCACGUAAACAUCACAUAAGGGAUUGGGGAAAUGAUUUUUCCGGAAUGGAAUGUCAUUAAAUUUGCCAUCAUUACUGACUGGGUCAGUAUAUAGCACAGUGGCAGGAACAGCUGGGGGUGUUUCUCCAUAGAGCAGCUCCCUUUCAAUCAAAGCCCGGCGUGCAGCAGUGGCUCGAACCUUUUGGUGUGCUUAAAUUGAUUUUCAAAAAUAAUAUCAUGCAUCUUGUUACAACAGCACAGUGUUACUUCAAUAUAGACUUAACAAAAGUCACUUCCACUGACACAGUAUUAAUCAUAGCAGUUCUUUCUACUCAUAACCGCAAAGAUUAUUGAUCUAAAUAUGCCUGUUUAUCUCAAAAACCAAGAACAAGCAAGCAACGGCACUCUUACUACACAAACACCUGUGAUUCAUAUUCAGUAACAGUGGUGGGACAAAGGGCCUCCCAAGUACUUCACAGCAGGGACAGUGAUCUCAUCUCCUGGCAGGCUAUCUGCAACCCUCUGUGUACUAAAUAGAUAGGUUUUUCUUAGAGAGAAAUUUACAGAAUAAGCUAACCAGAGGAAGAGGUACAUUACAUGAGCAUGCGUGGCCAAUGUUUAGAACUGCCAUGGUUCAUUUUGAAAAAUAAUAAAGUCUCUUUCUUAUGACUAACCAAAAUGUCCACAAGAAUUCUUCAUAGGGUCAGAUGUUGGAUAAAGCUGAGUGGCAGCUAUUUAAGUCAUCACGUCUGCACUGGCCAACAAACUUACUUACUUAUUUUAUUUGUUUAAAUAAUAUUUAUUAAUAAUGUCAGAAUUACAAAAAAAAUAAAAAAUAAAAACAACACUACAAUAGAAAAAAAGAGAAAAAUGCAAAACAUAAAAACCAAUACAACAAUACAGCAAAAGAAAGUAAAAAAAGAAGGGGAAAAAAGACACAAAUCUCAAAUUGCAUAUCUAUAAUUUCCAUUUUCUUGUUUCAUUGACCUCCUCACACCUCCCUUUUUGUAUUCUAGUUUAAUUAAUUGUUUCAGCAAAUUCUUUCCAUCUUUCUCAAUUUUUGUUUAAAAAAAUUUAUCUUAACAAUUUAACCUAAUAAUUAACUCAACAAAUCCUUUCCAUCUUUCCCCAUAUUCUGUUAUUCAAAUUACCUUAAUUUAUUUAACCUUAUCUUACCCCAAAAUACCUUAAAGCUUAAAUCUUAGUUUUCAAAUAUACACAGCUCCUGAUAUCAUUUCUGCUAGAGUCAUAUAGUUUCAUUCCAACAUUUUCCCUAAUAUUCAUUAAGCUAAUUCUAGAUAAAAAGUUUCCUUUAUAAAUUUUCUUCCAAUCAUCAUCCAGCGUCUCUUCUUCCUGGUCUCGGAUCGUGUCAGUCCUUACUGUCCAUUCCAUCUAGUCCAUCAACCUGGAAGCCUUAUGUCCGAGGCCCUUAAGUCUCUUCCAUGUCCCUUCUGCAGUUCUUCUUCUUCUUGUUUAUACUUGCCCUUUUCCUUGUCUUUUGUUGGUCUCUUUCUUAAUUUCUUUCCUUUCUCAUUGAGGAGUAGGUCUCUGGGGGAUUCCAACCCAAAAUUGUCUCCAUCUCCCUUCAUCCAGCCCGCCCAUUCCCCACGGUCCCACUCCCCACAGUCCUCGGUAUAAUCCAAAAAGUCUCUCCAAGGUUAGGAACCUCCUCAUCUCCAAACUCCCCCUGGCCCACUCCUGUAGGGCCUCGGGUCUCUCCAUUUGUAUUAUUUGAGGUGCAACCGCAUCCUCCUCCAUUGUCAUCUGCACUUGCCCAGUCAGUACAGAUUCAUAGGUUGGUCCCUGGAUGAUUUCUGUAUCAAUGUUCCCUGUUUGUCCACAGUUAUUAACCACAACAGUCAAAUCCAUUUUCUCAUUCAUCAAGUCCAUCUUCUCAUGCAUCUGCUCCAGCAAGGCAUUUGUCUUGCAUAAAGCAAGCACCCAAUCUUCCUCCCAGCUCAUCUUUGGUCAAGGUCAAAAAAGACUGUUCCCACGAUCUUAAUCUCACAGAUGUUGGGUCCUCAAGUAUACUGCAGCAACAAUUUAACAAGCUCCCUCUAGAGGAGACAGUUUCUAUUUGUAUCCAUUUUUUUUUAAAGGCAAAGGAAAGUUACUUUCAUUUUUCAGAUAUUUCAGAUGUUUUUCAGAUAUUUUGUUUCUUUAAAAUGCAAAAGGCAACAUUAGACUCAACUUGUUUCUCUUCAUUAGCUAUCUGUCAAAAUAUUCCAUUCACAGUCAAUGAACCUCUCCAACAGUUUCUGUCUCUGACACCCCGUUCCCAGGUUAGAGACGGUGGAAACUUAUCCUUCUUCACUCCCUCUCCUGCUAGGGUUAAACAGAGUCCCCCCCCCUUUUCUCCUGCUUCCAAGGGGGGUUUCAGUGAUUCUGAAUGAAGGAAAUUUAGGCUUUUUUGACAGCUUUCCCGGCUUUAGCUUACAAAAUUUUUGCUUUAGUCUAUAUACAAAAAGCGGAAGGCGGACUUCCUGUUUUGCACCUUCCCGCUUCGAUACCAAAUUAAGCAAUUUCUUGAUCCAAUUUUCCAUUUCUACUAACGGGUACUUGUUUUAAGUCCAAUUGUCCACAGGAAAAAGUCAGUGCUCUCUGGCAAUGGCUGUGCGGCUUCACUCCGUGAAAGUAGCAGUCAGUUCGUAGCACCGCGCUUCUCACCCCACUUCGCUCUGGAGCCCCUAAAUGGGAUUCCCCGCGAGUAGGGGGGCGCUUCCGGUGCCCUGCCGAACCCCACGUUCCCAGGCUUCCUCUGCCUGGGAUUUCUAGCGGGUCCCCACCUUCGCCGCGGCGGGAAGACCCAGUUUCUAUGGAGCCUGUUUCUCCGGUCGGAGGAACUCCGCCAUUCACCAAUGGUGCUGACCCGGAAGUCCCCUUACUUAUUUUAUUUGUGUCCCGCCCUUAUGCCAUAGAUUUCACAACAUAAAAGUACAAGAAAAAAAACACACACAAAAUAAUAAAACCAGAAAAAAACCCUACAAACCAAUAACCCCCUCCCCACACUCAUCAGAAGGGGCCCUGCUAUGGGGACUGCUAUGAAGAGUGCCUGUACUUUAGAAUUUACCACUAUGUUGCAAAGUAACAUAUUAAAAUGGUGUGCAUUGGUUUUACUGACCAUUAAUUUUUAUUUCUUUUUGGUUAAUUUUAUAUUCUGCUAAUUUUUAUUUAUUUUUGGUUAAUUCUAUAUUCUGCUUUUUUGAUUUUGUUAAAUGUUAUUGGGCAUGUGCUUUUAGAAUUAUUUUGAUUCAUUGUUGCUUUACUAUUUGGCUUUAAGCUUUGCAUAUUUUAUAUUUGUUAUAUAUUUUCAGUUCUGUAAAUCACCCUGGAUGAUGAUGAUGAUUAAUUUUUUGAAAAUAAUAUCACCACCACCACCACCAAGACCCCUUACUUGGACAACCUGCUUUAGUGUGUAGCAACUGCACUUCAACUACUCUUUGAUGAGGCUGAUUUUUUUUAUCUCUUUCAAUUGGGCUUUAGACCUUAUUUUGGUACAUUCUUUGUGCAUCCUGAUGGGUGACUUAUCCUGGAAUACCAACAGGGGCAAUAUGACUGUGAUUUCUCUAAGAUCUCUCAGCAGCUUUCAGUGCUACCAACCCUUCUGGAUUGUAUUUUUAAAGUACUCUGCAUGGAGGUCCUGUUUCUGUCCAAAUGAUCAAUUUGAGAAACUAUUGUUGAGAGACCACUGCUCAACAACUCGGCAUUUAUGAUUUUGGGGGGAGGGGGUCCUAUAGGGUUCAAUCGUGUCCCUUAACACCUGCAUAAAACCAUGGUGAUUGGGAGUGAAGUAUCAUCAAUAUUCAUUUCAGUUUUCCAAGUGCGGAGUAAGUUCUGGGGAAAUAAAACAGGCACCCCUAUAAAAAGUACAAUAUAAGAAACAUGGGCAUAAAGAGUAUUCAAUUUACAUUGUUGUACUCCACUUUGAUACAUUUUGUGAAAAGCAAUAUAUAAAUCUUUAAAUAAACAAAUUCCAUAGAUUGGAUUAAAAUAGUUCUGUCCAUUAAAGAUUGGUAAUCAGACAGUCCCCAAUAUGUGCUUGAAGUCUGUCUUAAUACUGUACUUACCGUACGUCUCCCACAUUGCUCACAAUUUAAGUGAUAUAUUUUACUCAUUCUAAAAUGGUGUUAGAGCAUGUUGGAUUUCACAACUGUUUCCUUUAGUUUUUGCAUAAAUCACAGUUACAGAAGAAUAUUUCCUUAUCCUUUCCCAGGUCUUAUCAGUAAUGCUAUUUGCUAUGCAGAUCAGGGUCACCAACUAUUUAGAAGCAUGCAGUUUUGGAUUUUGGAGUGUGUGUUGUGGGGAUGGCCACCCCUUCUGGUCUCAUUAUUCCCCCCAGCCCUACUGGAGAAAGAGAGAAAGUGUGUGUGCACAGCUUUUUCAAGAAGGCUAGGUAAAAAUUAUACCCAGUAGAAUUAAUAUCAGACUUAAAAGCACAUAGAGUUGAAAGAGGAAGUGGGAAAGAGCACUGCUGUAAUUUCCUUUCAGCCCUAUACUUCACAAGAGAGAAGAAAGUUACCGCCCUCACUACCUCAUGACCAAGAGAACAUGGAGGUGGUGGGGACUUAGUAGCUUCAUGGGCACCAGGGGAAGACGUGAGGGCAACAUUACACCAACAAUUGUCAUGCUGGUGACUGCUGAUGUAGAUUCUUCUCCCUUCCCUUUUUUAAAAAAGUAAAAAAUCAUUCAGUUGAAUAGCAACUGUUUGUACAAUUUACUCACUAGAGCUUUCUGGAUCUUGAUAUUACUCCCCCUAUUAGCAAAACAGGAGUCCUACAUGCAGGCAUGCUGAAGUGGAAGGGGAAAAGAGGUAAGAUGGGUUGCGAGUCUUGUAAACUGUAGAGACUACAACGGUAUGAAAAAAGACCAGGUUUUGUUGUCAUUUAUGUCAUUUAAAAAAGAGAACAAGGCCACACUCCAUACCUAAACAAAACUCCACAGGGAUAAAGGACUGCAGAUGUGCUCUGUCAUCAUGGUGAAUGUUGGCAGCAGAGAGUAUCACACAGGUGCACAUCCAUAUCCUUUGGGAGUUGGCAGUAAAACUGAAGAGAUGCCAGCCCCCUUCUGCCUGCUUCCGUUCAGCCUUGAGUCCAAGGGUGGAGGGAGUAUAUGCACCCUUAGAAUUGCCUGCCUUGACUCAGUUCUUCUUCCAUAUGAUUCUUUAAGUUGAAAGUCUGCUUCCUUCCCUAUAAACCAGUGGUGGCGAACCUUUGGCACGCAUGCCAGAGGCGGCACUCAGAGCCCUCUCUGUGGGCACACACGCCAUCGCCAAAGCAGGGCUGUUGCUGGGGGUUGGCAAAGUGGCCAGGCGCUUCCCCCCCAUGCCGCUGCGUGCGGGAAACGCUCCCUAGAGCAUGUGCUGCCCGCAGCGUCAUCGGGGGGAGUUGCGCACCCACCAACCAGCUGGCAUGGGUCUUUGGGUGAGAGAGAGAGAGAGAGAGAGAGCACACGAAGGGACACGCGUGCAACUCGCUCGCCACACCUCCUGAUCCGGGCUGGGAGGGAUGAGCGCUGCCCCUGGUCUAGGCGGACAACGCUCUCCGUCUCCUCGGGGCUCCUAAAAGAUGCGAGCAAGAGAUUCUCUGCGGCGAUAGUGCAGGUGAUUGGUGACUGUGUCAAGGGCUGUUUUCAAUUGGCUGCUAUUGCGGCAAUUGGGUGGCCGAUUUGCGGCUGCUGGCAGCGAGUGUGGAGAUGAUUGGUGUCUUCUGCGACUUGUGCGAUUGUAAGCAUCCGUGCAGCUAGUGAGCAAUUUUCGACAACCCCCCCCCAAAAAAAGGUCAACAACUUUGGGAAAUCCCCCUCCCAACAGCUGAACAACUCUGGGCAAUCCCUCCCACUCAAAAGCUCUUAGUACACCAGUGACCAAAAUUGUGGAAUCUUCUGGAAAAAGUGUAUUUUCAAGCUUUGAUGGCUCAUAACACUACUUUUUUUGGAGUAAUACCAGUCCUUUUUUUCUGUGGGGACGCAGGGAGAUGCAUACCCUAAACAAUUUGUGAAUUUAACGGGAGAAGAAAUUCACUGUAUUUAUUUUCCCCAAUGGUGAUUUUCUUGAGUCAAAAUGAGAGUAUUCCUAAACAUUUUUUAAAUAAAAAAAGCACUGCGUUAUACCAUAAAAUUAUAUAUCAAUGGAAAGGGUAAGAUUAACCCUAAUGUAUGAGUUGUUUUUUCUAAACUAAAACCUCAGUAUUCAGGUUAAAUUGCCAUGUUGGCACUUUGCGAUAAAUAAAUGGGUUUUGGGUUGCAGUUUCAGCACUUGGUCUCUAAAAGGUUCGCCACCACUGCUAUAGACCCUCUCAGGUGCUGAGAUCAGCAGAGGGGGCCCUCUUGUUAGUUCCUCCACUCUCAAAGGCUGGGAGGCAGGUAGCAACCCAGGAAAACAUUUUCUCUGUGGCAUCCCUUAAGUUAUGGAACUCCCCACUUUCAGAGAAUGCUGAAGAUUCACCUCUUUACCCUGAGGUGUAUAUUCCCUUAACAAAAUAAUUGGUUUCCUCUUAGAGAUUCUGCCCUCAUCUACACAGGACCACAGGUUUGGAAGGGAUGCAUGGACACCAUCCAGACUGACCCCCCCCCCAAAAAAACCCUUAUAACACUGGAACACAGCUCAUGCACCUGUGUGGAAGUUUCGGAUUUCGGCAAGUCCUUGCUGAGGCACUCAGAAAACCUGGCAGUGCCACUCAGGGCAUGGGAUGUGGAUAUCUGUGAGCAGCAAGAAAGUUCUUCAGCAAUGUAGUAGAUUUUGUUCUCACCCUAAUCCUUCAUGGUUUAGUCUACUCUGUGCUAUAGAAGUGAAGGGGAAGGCAGAGGCAUUUAAAAGGGCAACCAUACAAUAGCUUUCAUUCAGAUGCUGAGAGAGUUAACUCUGCCCCUUAAGCAGUUAAUGCAUAAACCAUUUUAAUGCUAUACUAAUUGUUUCACAUCAGAGGGUAAGACAUAAAUUAUAACCCAUUGGGCUUUAAUUGCAUGUUCUUACAUUGUUGCUAAUUAUCCUUUAUUCCUGAAAAAGAGAGCUUUAGAAUGUUUAAUUUUGGAUUCCAAGAAAUAAAAGGUACUUCCAAAGAGGUUAUUCUUAUCAGAUAUGUGCUGCAUCUACAUUUGAAUAUUUUCAGGAAAUUUCAGUCCCUUCUCAAACUAGGACUUUGCUUGCCUUGACCUCAGUGCUGAAUUUUUCAAAAUAUAUGGUGUUAAGAGUUUGCAAUGAAACUAUAUUCAACGUUUAGAAUCCUUUUCUUGUCCUGUGAUCCUAGCUGUUUGUAUGUGGGGAUGGCUUUAGAUACUCAGUGCUGCAGGGCAUACUCUUAGAAAUACUCUUCACAUUUCCCACUCCAGGGACAAAUGUAACUUCUGCAUGGUCUGAAGGCAAAGCAAUCUCAUAUUUUGGAAGGUGAGUGGUGUGGAGCUUUGCAGGGCAUCCAUGUACAACACAAUGUGUAAUCUGGAACAGAGGAGAUUGCAACUGUUAAUCCUUCAAAGGUCCGAAGGAGUCUUAUCUGGUCACUGCCAGCUCAGCCUCUUCCAGGUAGUCUCUGGAUCAGGGGUAGGCAACCUAAGGCCCGGUGGCCGGAUGCGGCCCAAUUGCCUUCUCAAUCCAGCCUGUGGACGGUCCGGGAAUCAGCGUGUUUUUACAUGAGUAGAAUGUGUCCUUUUAUUUAAAAUGCAUUUCUGGGUUAUUUGUGGGGCAUAGGAAUUCGUUCUUUUUUUUUUUUUUCAAAAUAUAGUCCGGCCACCACAUGGUCUGAGGGACAGUGGACCAGCCCACGGCUGAAAAAGGUUGCCGACCCCUGCUCUGGAUCAUUGUUUGCUGCCGGAUCUUCUGAGUAGACCCUUCCUCCUAAGUAGACCCUUGGUGAUCUAGCGUAGAGUGAGCUGAAUCAACUUUCAAAAAUGAAGGGUGCUAAAAAGGUAUAAUGUGACUUGGGAAUUCAAAGAUAUUUUGGUUAAAUUAAUAUUAUUUAGUUUUGCUUGGUAAGUAACAUUUGUGUAAAAUUGCAUAGAAAGCAUUAAAAAUGAUUGCCAGGUACUUGCUAUUAUUAUUAGCAUUAGCAUUAACAUCUGACAUUUUCAGAAGCUAAGAUUUAAAUUAUUUGGUUUUCUGAAAGCAAUUUAUGUGCUUCUUAAUCUAAAUGUUGUCCAGUCACAAAAAUAACAGCGCGGCUGAUGGUCAGGGAUGAUGGGAGCUGUAGUCUAACAACUCCUGGAGGGACCACAGGUUCCCUAUCAUUGAUACAGACAACAUGCACAACUUGUGAUACAUUUGGGACAGAAGGAAAACAACAAAUCAAUUCUAAUAGAAGGGGAUAAAAGCUCACAUAUUAACACCCCCUUCAAAUAAGCAUCCCCAGAAAUAUGCCAAACAACUCCUGGUAAAAACUGUCAAAAGGCAGUAAGUUGAGCUGCAAAGGUCUGGCAGCAGUGCUCUCCUCCCCGCUUUCUUUUUUCUUUUUUCUUAUGGUGAAAGAGCCUCUUUCUCCAAUGAAAGGAACAUAAUCACUCUUCAAGGGUGAGGCAUUUAAUUUAUUCCACAGGGAUUCGUUUCAAUCCUUUUCGAAAGCUAAUCUCUGCUUUGAAUUCCUGGUGUUUGCCAUUGAGGAAGGGCACACGUAAGAGCCUGCUCAAACCUCCCUUCCCCUUUAAAGCCAUGUCUGAAAAAUAUUAUUUUCCUCCUGCAGCUCCAUUUUCGAUUUGGUCUGAGUCAAAUCGCUGGAUGACCCUGGGAAUAGCUGGCUUCACUGACAGAGCUUUUCCUGAGUCUGCUGACAUCCUUUCUGAUGUGGUAAAUAAGUCACAGGAACCAUAAAAACCAAGGGCUUGGUUUUUUGUUUUGUUUUUCUGCUUUAACACAUGGGCCACAUUUAGAGUUCAUCUCAAUCCAGGGGAAAAUUUAAGCUUGGAACACAGACAAGACACCUUUUUAAAAAAUCCACCCUGAUCUGCCCCUGGGAUAUCCCUUUUGCCCUCCCCAUCAUUGAGGCAAGAACAGUGGAGGGGCAACAGUGGCUCCUACACUUGUUGGGAGGGGGCUUCAGAUGGUGGACUACUUUCUCUGCCCACAGACUUCAAAAUCCUAUGUCCUCUGGGGUGCCCUUCUAGGAUUGCACUCAAAGCAUGCGUAGAAUACUUUUUCUCUCUCCACCACCACUAUUUUCCAAUAUAACAAAACUGCAACAAGAAGAACUGAGUCUAAAUGCAUGAUACAAUUACCACUGGGUGCAUUACAUUAACUGUGCAAUAUUAUUUCAGACACACUCUUUGUUUAAAAAAAAUAACACUCCAAUUAAUGACAAAUCAAAUCUUGCCUCACAUAAUACAAAUAAUAAAGCCAAUUAUACAUUCCAAAUUAUAUAAUUUAAAGGGACUUCCCAUGUUCUGGCUGGUCAGGAGAAAAUCUCAUAAUCAUAAAGUAUCAUAAAUCCGAUAUACGAUCUUAUCCUUUAUCUUAUCAUAACAGUCACUGGUAUGCGACUUUCAAUCGUAUUUAACAAAUCCAUAUGUAUAUUAGCAUGCAAGAGGAAUUUUAUUUAUUCUUCCUGUUGUUUUCAUCAGAUGUUUUUGGUGCAGUCCCCCUCAGAGGUCCCUUUUCAUUCCACGAUCUUAUCUUCCAGGACUCUGAGCUGUCUUCCAGCUUUCCUUUGUCUAUCAAAAUUAUAACACAACAAUCCUUCAAAUCUUUUAAUGAACUGGUGUUUUUCAAAUCCGAAUAAGGGUCUUCCAUAGGGGGCAAUGCCAUAAGGUAUAUUUCACAGUUAGUAAUUGUUUGGUUCCUCUAAAAUCCAAGCUUUGCUCCCCCCCCCCCCCGGGCCCUAGGGGAAGCUUGCAAAGAUCAAAGAUUCACCUUCACUUUGAUAUUAAUCCAUAUAUGACAAGAAUCCAUGCAAGCAAAUGUAGUUUCUUAUGUGAAAUAUUCCCCAGUUGUAAUCCAUCAGUUGUCUUCAACCCCUGUAGAGAGGCCCUUUCUUUUUCUAAUGCACCACCAUUUACGCCAUUUUAUCGUUCCAAGCUGAAAGUAUAUCUACUCAUGUUUUUGUACAAAGUCCUUUCAUAUCUUGCCAGUUCCAAUUAAAGCCCUCCACAGAGGGCCACACCAUAAAGCAUCAGAUUCUCAAGUUUUUGUACAGUUCCUCUUGCAUUCCGUUUAGUUAAUUAAAUCUUUCUUAGUGAGGCUUGCCAAGUCAUGAAGUAAUAAGUAUAGAAAAGAAACAGAUGCUCACCUCACAUAAAUCGUAGCAAAAUGACGAAAAUCCUUUCCAGAUCAGAACCUUAACACUUCUUUCCAGAGCACGCCUAUUUCAGGGUCCGAAUUCAAUUAAUUUUUAAGGAACAGGAAUACUCUCUCUCUCAUGGUGCCAGCAAUGGAGAGUUUCCAAUUUGUGGAGUGCUAAACACCCAGCAUCCCUGCCCCUGCAUUCCAUUGUAGCGAGCAGCAGAUGAGAAGACCCCCCUGCCCUGGGGGGUUGCCAGGGAUAAUUACCCCCAUAUUAUUCCUGAUAAAUUGCAUGACUGGAGUCCGGUGCUAUGGGAAAGCUGCCAAACGCCAUGGCGAUCGCACCAGAAGCCAUUUCAGACACACUCUUAAGCACAUUACUAGUUAAUAUAGCUCCUGCACUGAUGGGUUUGGGUUGUCAGUGAGAGAAUUUUUAUUUCCAUCCCUUAUAUAUUAGAAAAAGGAAAACCAGGUUUCAUCUAAAGUGUCUCUCUUUGCAAUACCUUUUAUCAUCCUCCUAUGUCUAUUGAGGUGUUCAGAGAUAACCACAACCCACUCAUUGCUGAACCAUAUUUCUAGUGGCUGUUCAGCCUCGGAUUUCCAAAAACAUGCUAACAGGUGGCUGUCAUCAGGGAAAAAAUGACUCUAUGCCAGAUAUUGAGAUCUGGGUUUUUAUUUAGUGAAAGUAGGACUAGUGCUAGAGAUAAGUUGCAGGCCCUCCAAGUGUCCCUAUUUUCCAAGGACAUCUCUGAUUUAGAGAAGCCAUUGGGUUUCUGAUUUGAUCCCGAAAUGUCCCACUUUUCCUUAGGAUGCCAUCAUUUUCAUUGGAGAAAAUAGUAAAAUUAUCAUUAUGGAAUGGGACGUCUCUAUUGUCCUUGGAUAAAUGUUGGAGAGUAUGAAGUUUUUAGUGAUCUUGGAAAUGGUGUCAGAAACAGUGGUCCAAAACAUUCACAACUUGGUAAACAGAUAAACAACUACACAACUUUCUGAAGACAUCUAAAGGCAGCCCUGUAUAGUUUUUAAUGGUUUAAUGGUUGAUAUUUCAUUAUGUUUUUAUAUUAUGUUGAAAGCCACCGCAAGUGGCUGGGGCAACCCAGUCCGAUGGGUGGGGUAUAAGCAGGAUUUCCACCCCAACCAAAUGAAAUACCGUAUUUACUCGAAUCUAAUGCUCAUCUUUUUUGGCCAAAUUACGUUGUGAAAAUUAAGGUGUUCAUUAGAUUUGAUGGCACAUUUACAUUCGCCUGCAAAUCCUUUUUUUGGUUUCAAGGUUCUGAAAAUUGAGUUGUGCAUUAGAUUCAAUGACACGUUAGUCUUGGGUAAAUUUGGUAGAUAAAAUCCAUUUUCUGCUGCAUCUGCAUUAGAAAAGAAUUCCGGAUUUUGAGUAAUUUGUGACUCGGUGGAAAGCAUUCAGCUGGUUGACUAGAAAGAAUGAGCUUCUUUUGGGUUCUGUAGCAUUAGAAGUAAUGCAAAGGCAUCAGAUGAUGCCUUUAAUAGAAGAAUCUUCUCACAGUCAAUUGCCUGGCACCUUUAUCACCACUGCAAAUAACAACAGUGACAGGGAGCAGUCGUGACACAUGCCUCUAAAAAGGUUGAUUAGAGGGGCCUUAAAACCAUUAACCACACUGCCUGUUCUGGUUUUCAAGCAGGACAAAAUCCAUCAAAGGCUGCUGUUGUUGCUGUUUUUGCAGCCAUUUUCUUAGUUUUGUUCUUUCCUCCUUUUCCCCCCUCUCCCCCCCCCUUUCUUCCCUCUUCAGGAUCAGUGUCUUCUCUGCUGUCUUCUGCUCCUCUGUGUAUUUAUCUCCUUUUGGCUGAAGCUGUAGCUGAUCCAUUUUUAUUUUUAUUUUGCUUCAAGGUGGGUGACUGCAGCUUUAGUUAUUCCUUCAUGUGUUAUCAGCAGUUUGAAGGGGCAACCCCAUCUAUAUUUGAUUCCAGCUUCUCUGAGUGCAGCAGUGAAUCCAUGGAACACACAUCUGUAUUGCAAAGUUACCGGCUGUAGUGGGUCUUCAGGAUCUCCAGAAGUCCUUCCCCAACAAUGGGUGUCAGUGACUGAAGUGUAGGUGGGUUCCCACAAAGCUAGACACAGUGAUAACAGCAAGAACCUUUAUUGAACUAACAGAACUGGACAAUAAGGGCAAGGCAACUGCUUAUGUACAUUUCUGAAGGCCUGGGCCACUCCCACUCUCAAUGUGAUUGGCUGUUUAAACUCCCAAGCUGCAAAUCAUAACUUAGAGUUUAAAAACCAAUGGCAGUGGCCCAAAUCCUGAAAUGUUUGUUGAUUGGAUAUUAUGUAUUGAAUUAGAACACAGGGGCUCAGAAUCCUUAGUCCAGACUUAAGCUCGGGCAAACACAGACCACUGAGUAUAUAACAGUAACCCCCAGAUCAUCUAAGAUAAUUCCAAUGGCUGACUUCUAAAGGAUGCAAUGUGAGCUACAAAAUGAGCUUUUUUCACUGCCCGCACUGCCACAUAGUAGGCACAACUAUGUGUUUUCCGUCGGCUUCAGAAUGAGACUUGCACCACCUGCACUUCAGUGCUCAUCC